GGGCUUGCUUCGGAAGCACAUAUCAUAAAAUUGGAAUGAUUCAGGGAAGAUGAGCAUGAACCCCAACCCUGUCCCGCACAAAGACAGCACGCAAAUUCCUGAGGCAUUCCAUAUUUUU
rnacentral:snRNA from 1 species